CAGCCGCCGCGGUAAUACAGAGGGUGCGAGCGUUAAUCGGAUUUACUGGGCGUAAAGCGUGCGUAGGCGGCUUCUUAAGUCGGAUGUGAAAUCCCUGAGCUUAACUUAGGAAUUGCAUUCGAUACUGGGAAGCUAGAGUAUGGGAGAGGAUGGUAGAAUUCCAGGUGUAGCGGUGAAAUGCGUAGAGAUCUGGAGGAAUACCGAUGGCGAAGGCAGCCAUCUGGCCUAAUACUGACGCUGAGGUACGAAAGCAUGGGGAGCAAACAGGAUUAGAUACCCGCGUAGUCCCUGUCUCUUAUAC
rnacentral:rRNA from 1 species